GAGCCUGGUGUUCACACCCCAUCAAUGAGCCCCUGAGAAGUCAGGAGGGUCAGCCUCCCAAUCCACAGAGAAAGGACCCAAAAUUACCAUAGUUGCAGAAGACAUAUUGAGUGUGUUGCCUCCUUACCAGUUCAUACCAUCUCCCAGGCCUAAAUCAAAGUAACUUCUCAUGAUAAUUCCGAUGGUAAUCUUCAUUGUCGACUCGGCUAGACUUAGAAUCAUCUAGAAAACACACCUCUGGAAGCAUCCGUGACAAUGUUUUCGGGAAGUUUAGAUGAGGUGAGAAGACCAUCAUGGCAGUGGUCCAUGGGCUGGGGUUCUGGACUGACUAAAGAAGAAAGUGAGAGAGGAGGUGUGUCGGCAUUCAUCCCUCAAAUGCCUGCAGCCCUGUCUUCCCUCCAUGACAAACCAGGAACCAGAUCUGUGGACAAACUCUGAGUAAAGUCUUGGGAGAGGAAGAAGAAAGAUAAGACAAGUUCUGGAGUUGAUGUGUGGAUUUAAAUUCAGUAAAAUGAGAUGGUAACUAUACAACCCCAAACAGAG
rnacentral:lncRNA from 1 species